AGGUGAUUAGUUUAAUAAAACAUUUGAUUUCGGCUCAAAAGCUUGUGGUUAAAGUCCAUAAUUACCUA
rnacentral:tRNA from 1 species